AAGGUCUCCGUUGGUGACCCAGCGGAGGGAUCAUUA
rnacentral:rRNA from 1 species